GUAAUGUGAAUUGCAGAAUUCAGUGAAUCAUCGAAUCUUUGAACGCACAUUGCGCCCGCCAGUAUUCUGGCGGGCAUGCCUGUCCGAGCGUCAUUUC
rnacentral:rRNA from 1 species